UUCGCGCCCGAUUCCAUCCCGGAAAUCCAACGUCAGGAUGAACCCGUCUCGGACAGAGCCAAAGGAAACGGUAGUCACCUAAAUAUCGGCGGACGAGAUUCGAACGGCUGGAAAACUCCGGUUGUCCUGCUUGAAAGGCUCGAUCCGGUAUUCGUGCGUCACCAUUUGAAAACGUCAGAGUCUACCUCCAGUUCGAGUUGCUCUGCCCCGCCUUCGUUCCAGCUUAAAAAGGAGGUAAGGUGUCACAUAUACCUCGUAUAUCCGUCCAGCGGGCUGAUUAUUGACAUUGGUAGACAAAGCUAUAGACAAAGGAUACAUAAAGAGUAGGGAGUGAUCCUAUUGGUUGAAAUGAUUGGUUCCUAUAGACUAAGGGAGAAAAUUAUGGGCUCAGUAUGGGGUCUGCGGGGUGAUUGUUGAAACUGAUAGACAUAGCAAUAGACGAAGAAGACAAAAAGGAAAUGGAGGGAUCCUAUCGGUGGAAGUGGGUGGUUGCAAUGGACAAAAGACACUGGUAAUAGACAAACUAACGGCAACCCACGAGAGACCCGAUAGUUAGUCUAUCAUUUACCCCCUUAGUCUAUAAGGACCACCCAUUUCAACCAACAGGAUCGCUCCAUACUCCCUAUGUCUUCUUUGUCUCUCUCGGGUCUCCCUAUGUCUUCUUUGUCUCUCGUGGGUUGCUGUUAGUUAGUCUAUCAUCAACUUUCUUUGUCCAUUGAAACCACUCGCUUCCGCCAAAAGGGUUCUUUCAUAUCCCUUUUAUAUUCUUUGUCUAAAGCUUUGUCUAUCAAUUUCAACAAUCGACCCGCAAGGCGUCAACUAGUCCGGAAAUAGUACUGAUUUUUUAGGGCGGUUCGGAAGCGGUGAAAAAGUGCGGAAAUUCCGCAAAAAGAUCCGGAAUUUUUUCUUUCAUACCACCCGUAUUUUUACUAAAGCCUGGCUAGUAUGCUAUCCCCUGCGCGUAUAAUCUUAGAGUAGUAUUUGUUUGGAACAUCGCGAUUGUGCCAGUCGUUAGUCAGUUAAUCGUCAAGCCACCAAUGAAAUUACGUGGCUGUAUCAUUUUUUCGUGAUUCGAGCGAGAAUUUCAAAUUUUCGAUUUUUUUCAACAUUCUUCGAAUGGAGGUACUGAAAAAAAUAGUGAAUUUUUCUAUUGAGGAGGCAUUGAAUUUCUUAAGAAUGUGCUGAAAAAGUACUGUUAAAGUACUGAUUUUUGGCCAGCCUGUUUCAGGAGACUCUCUGCCGUCGUUAUUCAGAUAAUUUAACGUAAUUUACCACCAAGGUCGCAAAAUCAACUCAAAAAAAUCAUUUUUUUAGAAGAUUACAGGGUUGUCCCUAAUUUCAUCGCGAAUAUUUUCAGAAUAAAUUUUUCGGAUGAAAAUACGACAUUUUGUCCUAUCACGUCUGCCCCAAAAA
rnacentral:lncRNA from 1 species